rnacentral:rRNA from 1 species
AGUGAACGCUGGCGGUAGGCCUAACACAUGCAAGUCGAACGGCAGCACAGUAAGAGCUUGCUCUUACGGGGUGCGAGUGGCGUACGGAUGAGGAAUACAUCGGAAUCUACUUUUUCGUGGGUUAUAACGUAGGGGAACUUACGCUAAUACCGCAUACUACCUACGGGGGAAGGCAGGGGAUCGUCUGACCUUGUGGGUUGUGAUGAGCCGGUGUCGGAUUAGCUAGUUGGCGGGGUAAAGGCCCACGAAGGCGACGAUCCGUAGCUGGUCUGAGAGGAUGAUCAGCUACACUGGAAGUGAGACAGGGUCAAGACUCCUACGGGAGGAAGCAGUGGGGACUAUUGGGCAAUGGGGGAAAGGCUGAUACAGCCAUACCGCGUCGGCGAAGAAGGAGCCAGGGUUGUAAAGACAUUUUGUUGGGAGAGAAAAGAAGCAGGUUAAUACCCCGCUGUUAUGACGGUACCCAAAGAAUAAGCACCGGCUAACUUCGUG